UUCACGCUGUCGAUUUAGUUCGUCAAAAUGCAGCGCGGCGCUGCUGUUGAUACUAACAUUCGUCAAAUAGUAGUGUGGCGCUGCAGUCGAUACUAACAGUCCGUACACUAUACAACUGUAUAAGGUUAUAUACCUAAUAUGAAUUCGAAAGAAAACAAAAGAAAAACACAAAAUUCAAAGCCAAACAAGCGUAAAAACGUAUUCAAGUAGAAAAAGCAAUGGAACGCAAACCGACGCGGAGAAAACCCAGUGUGUGUGUGGUACAAUAGACUAAUAGCUGACCUUUAACUUUUUCUUCUGCCUUCUGCACAUAAGAUGAUCGAAAAUCUACGAGCACAUCGCCGUGAACAUCUGAAACAGAACGAAAGCAAAUUGGUAAAAACGUAUUGACUUCCACAUUUAAUUUGAUUUCUCCUCUGCUGCGCUUGACAAUGUGACAAACAAGAAUAAAUAUUUGUUGCAAUUUA